GGUUCCAUAGAGUAGUAUGUCUGCUUUACACUCAGAAGGUCCUGGGUUCGAGCCCCAGUGGAGCCA
rnacentral:tRNA from 1 species